UCAAUGUCAAUGUAAUUUGUAAUGUAAUACAAUACAAUAGCAAAACAUGAAGUAAAUAAAUUAUAAAAAAUGUAAAAAAUAACCACAAUGCAUUCAAUUAGUUCGAAGAUAUCAACAGAAUUGUACAAGAAUAUAAAUUAAGAGUUCAGAAGCGAUAAAAGUUCAUAAAUAAAGAAGAAACCAUUAAGUACAGUUUAAUAAUUUGGAUUUAAAAUGGGUUUGCUGCUCAGUAAAGAAUUUAGACGUAAAAAGAAAAUCGAUGAAGCUACUAGUAAUUCUAGCUUGACCAAUGUGCGUUACGUCAUAACAGAAAAGCCAAAAUGGAAAGUUUUCAAAAAGAAAGAAGUGGUGCCCAUUCCUCAAUACUUCCCUCCGAAGGGAUGUGUAUGCGGCAACGAAGGAAUAUGUAAGCAGAAGAUCACACCAGCUGGAGUUACUAUACAUUAUCCACAAAAAAAGAAAAAAUUCACCGCGUUUGGUGGGAAGCGGCGAUACAAACCACCAAAAAUAAAGAAGAGCAAGUUCAGCAAAUCUCGAUGGAAGUCCAUUCCCAAGGUUUCUCCAUUCCAAACAAGAGUUAAUACAAGUCUUCACGUUAGUCAACCAUCAAUAAGUGGUGAUAAACUCACAAACGCUUUGAAGGCAAUAAAGACUUUGAAACCGACGAAGUCUGGGAUAAGUGUUAAAUUAAAUAAUGUCAUCCUGAAUAUUAGAUCAUUAAGCCGGUUCAGAAGACACUAUAGACUAAAAAGAUCAUAGGCCAAUAAAUAAACUGAAGGGUCGGCCAAAGAAAUUUACAACUUGGAGACUGGAUAAUAUAGUUUAUAAUUCGCCGUUUAACAGAACGUAUACGCCGCCCCAUCCUGACGUCUUUUCGGAGUCUGACAUUAG